UGAAAAUGUACAAAACAAAUGUUAAUAAUUGUUAAAAAACGUUUGUAUAGGAAAGGUUAUUCUAACAUAAACGAUUUUCUUAGAUACUACAGACUUAUUAUCAUUAUGAGAAUGAGAUCCUCAGGCUCUUUCAUUAUAAAUGUUAUUAUCAUAUUAAAUUACAUUGUAAUCUAUAUAUUUAUAUAUGAAAAAAGCCCGCUGAGUUUCUUGCAACCUUUCUUCUCAAGUCUGAGGCAGUCUUGCAUUUGCAUUUUGAAUGGGUGGCAGUUGUUAUUGACGUUCAAUAAGUGGUUUUGAAUGCUAUUUUAAAUAAAAAUAUUUGAAUUUGGAUAUGGAACAGCUGGUAGCGUAUAAACUAAGAUUAAAAUAUCUGCCUAGCUAUAUCGAGGACUGAGUAUAAAUAUGGGUUUGAAAUUGUAAUAAGAACAUCAGGAGGGUGCUAGUAGCACUGACGCUAUCCAUAAACCGACGCACGUAGAUAGAAAGAGUAUUUUGACCGGCGAUUCGCUUUUUUUAAUCUGAUACUCCAACCCUUAGUAUUAGUAGUCACACGAUUGAAAGCAACAGGUUUGCAAAUAAAACGAAAGUGUUACAAUCCGUUGUGAUCAUUUGUUUUGUGUAAAUUGCUCCAUUGUAAUCUAUGUCCUUAAUGCUUUGUGCAAAAAGUAGUAGAAGAAGAAGAAAAUGACUUAUGAAUGUCAAUGACCCCAUAAAGAAUAGAGAAACCAUUUCGGAAAAGUUGAGCGUAAAUGAGAAAAACUCGCAAGAAACUCAUUGCCACUCUUUUUAAUAUAUAUCUAUUUACAGUUUUAGCAUGUAACAUUAUAUUUUAUACAAAGUGAUAUACCUAAAUUAUUACUCAAACGUUUUGGAAUUCUUGGAUUGGGUGGUAGUUUUUUGACAUUCAAUAAGUGGUGUCACAUCCUAUUUUGAAUAAAAAUAUUUGAAUUUGUGUAACUAAAGAAAAAAAAGUGAUAAAUCUUAUUAUCGAUAAACCGACCAGGCACCACAAGUUAGUAGCGCCCGUUCAUAAUGGACCAGACCGGAAUUCCUUCCCUCACUCUCGUUGUGUUUACUAGAGUCUGGCUAAUGAAAGCUGAACCUGAACGUAGUGUUUAAAUUCUCUUUGGCUGAACCUAGCCAUUUAUAGGAAUGGCAAUAAUAAAAAAAAAUAUCAUUAUGACAAUUUCAAUCAAUCUGUUGUGUCUUGCUGUCACAUUGGAGUUUGCUUACAUUGAGUUUCUUGAAUAUUUCUAAGCGAACAUGGGUAAAACGAUAAAUAGUGGCGUGCGGCGAGUGUUAUUUAUUAUGUUGAAUAAAUUAAAGCAAGAACAAGAAUAGAAAGAAGCAAUGUUCUGGCAAAAAAAUAAAUGUUUAGAUGUCUUGACUGAAUUCGUAGCAGCUCAUAUGGAAACAGUCGUAAAAUAUGCUUUUGAAAGUAUAACACCAGAAAAUUGAAAGACAAUGACAUGGAUGAAAUAAUAGAAGAGCUAAAACCAUUGAUCAUAAGUGUGGAGGAUGUUAGUUCCAGUAGUAGUACAGACGAAUAUUUGGAAAUAUAAAUUUUAGAAUAAGCUUUUGAUUAAAAUGAAUAAAAUCUGUUUAUCUUC